GAUGAACGCUGGCGGCGUGCCUAAUACAUGCAAGUCGAGCGAACGGACGAGAAGCUUGCUUCUCUGAUGUUAGCGGCGGACGGGUGAGUAACACGUGGAUAACCUACCUAUAAGACUGGGAUAACUUCGGGAAACCGUAGCUAAUACCGGAUAAUAUUUUGAACCGCAUGGUUCAAAAGUGAAAGACGGUCUUGCUGUCACUUAUAGAUGGAUCCGCGCUGCAUUAGCUAGUUGGUAAGGUAACGGCUUACCAAGGCAACGAUGCAUAGCCGACCUGAGAGGGGGAUCGGCCACACUGGAACUGAGACACGGUCCAGACUCCCACGGGAGGCAGCAGUAGGGAAUCUUCCGCAAAGGGCGAAAGCCUGACGGAGCAACGCCGCGUGAGUGAUGAAGGUCUUCGGAUCGUAAAACUCUGUUAUUAGGGAAGAACAUAUGUGUAAGUAACUGUGCACAUCUUGACGGUACCUAAUCAGAAAGCCACGGCUAACUACGUG
rnacentral:rRNA from 1 species